rnacentral:RNase_P_RNA from 1 species
AUGGAGAAGUAAUCGCUGCACAUGUACAAUGUGUAGAGGAAAGUCCAUGCUCACACAAGCUGAGAUGCUUGUAGUGUUCGUGCUUGACGAAAUCAUAAGUCAAGGUAACCAAUUCCGGUUAACGGCAGAGAAAACACCUACGUCCUUUAUUGGAUAUGGUGUGAGUAUCUUGAAAGUGCCACAGUGACGUAGCUAAACAGGAAACUGUUUAGGUGGAACGCGGUAAACCCCUCGAGUGAGCAACCCAAAUAUUGGUAGGGGCAUCUUUUAUUAGGGAAAUAAUGAACCGAACGAAGGACAAGCUUCUUGCUUGUAGACAGAUGAUUACACCUUUGGUACGAGGCUGACCACCGUAUGCAGUACGAAAAGGACAGAACAUGGCUUACGAAC